rnacentral:rRNA from 1 species
AUUGAACGCUGGCGGCAUGCUUUACACAUGCAAGUCGAACGGUAACAGGGAGCUUGCUCCGCUGACGAGUGGCGAACGGGUGAGUAAUAUAUCGGAACGUACCCAAGAGUGGGGGAUAACGUAGCGAAAGUUACGCUAAUACCGCAUACGAUCUAAGGAUGAAAGCAGGGGAUCUUCGGACCUUGUGCUCCUGGAGCGGCCGAUAUCUGAUUAGCUAGUUGGUGAGGUAAAGGCUCACCAAGGCGACGAUCAGUAGCUGGUCUGAGAGGACGACCAGCCACACUGGAACUGAGACACGGUCCAGACUCCUACGGGAGGCAGCAGUGGGGAAUUUUGGACAAUGGGCGCAAGCCUGAUCCAGCAAUGCCGCGUGAGUGAAGAAGGCCUUCGGGUUGUAAAGCUCUUUUGUCAGGGAAGAAACGGGAGUGGCUAAUAUCCAUU